UCCUCCCCUCAGCAGCCUCCACUGACUUACCAGUCAGUAAGUGUUAGGUUGCGUGUUUAGCCUGCUAGCUACGUUAGCUGCUAACCUUAGUGUGUUCGAUGUUCAAGCUAGCUAACAAGGCUACUUAGCUAGCUAACAUCUUCUGUAUUCAGUCUUUUUUGUACUCAAAGGAAUCUAACAAUGGCAUCAUAAAUCUACACUGCACAAACCCCCCAAUGCCUGUAUUUCAACUAACUAACAUUAGCUAGCAAAAGCUAGAAAUGCAGAUUGUUGACAUGAUAGUGUUUCAUUUGUAGAUAACUAGCUAGCUAGCUAGGUGGACAACAGCAUUUUCGGCCCAUGUACACCCCAAAAAAUGCAUCUAUGCAUAACAUUUGGUAAAGUAACAUCACACAAACAUCACACCAGAGAUACUGGUGGAGAUGGUCUGAUUUCGAGGGAAUCUGAGGCUGUUCAAAUUGUGGUUGUGCAAACCCCAACACUGAAAGAGAGUGCCAACAAUCCCCACAGACAGACUGGUCCCUCCUGUCCCACUACCAACCAAGCAAGAGUAUCUCCAGGAGCAUCAGUGCUAGGCUUGAGACCUCUGCUGGGGCUUGGAGAGGAAAGAGAGCUUACUCAUUUCUCUACUGGCUUACCCACAGACAAGUAGACCAGUGACAGUACUGCCCAUGGAGAGUGGACCAGUGGUGCUGCCAGGAGGAAGUGGAGUCAUGACGAC